rfam:Ovis aries breed Texel chromosome 10, whole genome shotgun sequence.
UGGCUCAGAGGGUAAAGCGUCUGCCUGCAGUGCAGGAGACCCAGGUUUGAUCCCUGG